UUUACAAGCAGUUCAAAACUUUCAUAAAAUACAUUCAGCUGAACUUGAGCCCAAACCUACAGAUAAACAUGAUGCACAUGAGUACCACGUAUACAACACGUGUCCUCUUUUGAAACUCCACCGCUUCCUGAAUCGAAGAAAGAGAAACGUCGCCUUAACUCUGGCCGGCCGAUCACGCUCACCAUCUCCGACUCUCUUGAAACUGCUUGCUCGCUCCAAUCUCCUUCGAUCGCCUCCCGUUCAACAAGGACUUCUUUUCCAUCCAUUAGAAUUAAAUCCAGCGAAGAACUUCAAAAGACCCGAGACAGAACAUUGUUGGAACACUAGCCUGAACGGCAGCUCCGACUUUUCUAUUCCUGCUUCGAAAUCUCUCUAGUAUCUUCUAACCCUCUAAUCUUGACUUUCAUGGAUACUUCACUUUCUCAUAUGCGAAGAUUGAUUCCAAUUCCAAAUCAAGAGUUGAGCUUUUCUAAUAAAGGGAACAUCAAUCCUUUGGACAGAUGGAUUGAAGGUGGAAACAGAAGGAGAAGAGCUUUACACACAACAAAAUCGGACAAAACCGAAUCAAAAUCCGCAACGGAAAAUUUUAAUUGGACAAAGCCGAAACAGAGGAUCUGAUCGCAUGAUCAGAACAUUAAAAACCAUAUUAUACACCAAAAAGUCUCCGUUUCUUUCCCUCUGAAAGAUGGGUGUGUGGUAAGAGGAAG
rnacentral:lncRNA from 1 species